AUUGAACGCUGGCGGCAGGCUUAACACAUGCAAGUCGAGCGGGGAAAGGUAGCUUGCUACCUGACCUAGCGGCGGACGGGUGAGUAAUGCUUAGGAAUCUGCCUAUUAGUGGGGGACAACAUUCCGAAAGGAAUGCUAAUACCGCAUACGCCCUACGGGGGAAAGCAGGGGAUCUUCGGACCUUGCGCUAAUAGAUGAGUCUAAGUCAGAUUAGCUAGUUGGUGGGGUAAAGGCCUACCAAGGCGACGAUCUGUAGCGGGUCUGAGAGGAUGAUCCGCCACACUGGGGCUGAGACACGGCCCAGACUCCUACGGGAGGCAGCAGUGGGGAAUAUUGGACAAUGGGCGAAAGCCUGAUCCAGCCAUGCCGCGUGUGUGAAGAAGGCCUUUUGGUUGUAAAGCACUUUAAGCGAGGAGGAGGCUACUUGGAUUAAUACUCUAGGAUAGUGGACGUUACUCGCAGAAUAAGCACCGGCUAACUCUGUGCCAGCCGCCGCCGUAAAAC
rnacentral:rRNA from 1 species